UAUAUACUUCCUCCGUCCAGAAAUACUUGUCGGAGAAAUGGAUGUAUCUAGACAUAUUUUAGUUCGAGGUACAUCCAUUUUUAUCCAUUUCUUUGACAAGUAUUUUCGGACGGAGGGAGUAGUUA
rfam:Triticum aestivum genome assembly, contig: Triticum_aestivum_CS42_TGACv1_scaffold_543930_6DS